UACGAAGGGGGCUAGCGUUGCUCGGAAUCACUGGGCGUAAAGCGCACGUAGGCGGCUUUCUAAGUCAGGGGGUGAAAUCCUGGAGCUCAACUCCAGAACUGCCUUUGAUACUGGAGUGCUUGAGUCCGGGAGAGGUGAGUGGAACUCCGAGUGUAGAGGUGAAAUUCGUAGAUAUUCGGAAGAACACCAGUGGCGAAGGCGGCUCACUGGCCCGGUACUGACGCUGAUGUGCGAAAGCGUGGGGAGCAA
rnacentral:rRNA from 1 species